CGGCAGGCCUUAUACAUGCAAGUCGAACGGUAACAUUGGUGCUUGCACCAGAUGACGAGUGGCGCACGGGUGCGUAACGCGUAUGCAACCUACCUUUUACUAGAGUAUAGCCCAGAGAAAUUUGGAUUAAUCCUCUAUAACAUCUUUUAAUUUCAUGAUUAAUUGAUUAAAGUUUUAACGGUAAAAGAUGGGCAUGCGUCCUAUUAGUUUGUAGGUGAGGUAACGGCUCACCUAGACUACGAUAGGUAGGGGCCCUGAGAGGGGGAUCCCCCACACUGGUACUGAGACACGGACCAGACUCCUACGGGAGGCAGCAGUAAGGAAUAUUGGACAAUGGACGAAAGUCUGAUCCAGCCAUGCCGCGUGCAGGAUGAAAGCCCUAUGGGUUGUAAACUGCUUUUAUACAGGAAGAAACACUCCGACGUGUCGGAGCUUGACGGUACUGUAAGAAUAAGGAUCG
rnacentral:rRNA from 1 species